GCCCUGCGCGCUGCCUGCCGUCCAGCGGCCGGGCAGGGGGUGUUGGCUGUAUCGUGCAGUGCUCGGUGGCCACGAAGCACGAGGAAAGGCCGCCGGCUGCCUCUCGCUAGUCCAGGCACACAGCAUCGGGAUGGUAGAGGGAUGGUUUGAGGGGAGCGGACCAAUUUGUUAGUGCAGCAACGGGAGCUCUGCUGUCCGCCCGUGCAAUGCAGCCGCAGGCUGAAGCUGCAGCGUUUGUCCUCCUGCUGCGACUGCUGCUCCGGGAAAGCUUUGAGGCUGGAAAUGGAGGAUCCCACAGGGCUCGGUAUGGCGAGAUGGGUCCUGAGUUCUGCACACGAGGUGUGUUUUGCACGCACAGGUGGUGCGUAAAGCUUUGCCGGGUACCGGCGUCCCUCAAGAACGCUUUGCCCUCACUGUUUGCAGUCACUGAAUGGAAACGUGCGGCGGGCUGCGUCCCACAAAACCCUGCCGGGGAGUUCAAUUCAUUAUUAACUACUGACAUUUCCAACUCAGGCAGCUGAGAAUGUGCCCAUGAGGCGGUUCAAGAAAAAUCCUGAACUCUCAUUUCACUUGAACCUCUACAAAGAGAGGUCCAGAGCCUUCCCCAUUCUCCAGAAGGGUGAGUCUGGUGCCACAGGAGUGACCAAGAGCCUCACCAGGAUGAAGGAAGAGGAAGAACGUUCAGAACUGAGGAUAUCAGAGGUCUGUGAGGAUAGCAGUCCCCUGGGAAAGUACCAACAAGAAUCAUUUUGGCCUGGCAGGAUUUCCUCAGGCAAAGCUGCUCUUGACUUAUAAAGGAACCUGGCUUAAAAAAUUGCAGGAGAUGUUCAUAACAAACGGGGAGAAAAUGCUUCAAAUUUUCCCUGUGGAAAUUCAAGAUGAUGACUAGCUUUGAUUUCUUGCUGACAAAUACAAGCCAAGGAAGCUGAGGAUCUGUUCUGCAGCAUUGGAUGUAUCUAACAGAGACUGCUAAGGAGAGGUUGUGACUGAAUCUAAGGACAUCUUCAGACUCUGAACAAAGACCGUUUUCAGCUCUUCACUGCCUUCCUCAUUGGUGAGCACAAUCCUAGCCCAUGAACACAAAGUGAGCCCAGUGUUUCAAGAGUUUUGAGUUUCAAACUCAAAGAGACAAACCCUGAAGCUGUCCCAUGCCAGGGUGGAGACACUUCCUUGGUAAAAACCAGAUGGUCCUCAUAUUCCCUAAAUAGCCUCAUCACACAAGAAAUGAUGUCACACACAGAGAGUCAAUGCCAUUUUCUCCUUUGAUGAAAUGCCAUGCCAGAGCCCACAGGAAGGCAGGAGAUGGGAGAGGAGACUUCUAGAACAACAUAGGAACACAAAGGAACAACAAAAACUGUCCAGACACGUACAACACAUUUCUCACAGCGCCGGCCCGUGGUGAACUGCUGGCAGAGGCACUCCCCAGUGGUAGAGUCACAGACGGAGAAAGGCAAAGUGCCGGCAGCAUCACAGUUGCAGGCUGUGGGGAGAGAAAUGUGUGGCUGCUUCAGUUGGCCCUGGUGACGGUAGCAGGGGUGGGAUGUGUCUAUCAGCAAGCCUCGCUCUGAGGAACAGCUGGCUGGAAGCUAUCACGGCCAGGCAGCAGCUCCCUUAAUCUACAGAGAGUUUAGCAGCAAGAAGAGCCACAAGAUACUCUCUAAGGAAUUUAAGCACCAGGCAGAGGAGGCAAAAUGUGUAACGGGCAUCUCAGUCAGAAGGUGCCUUCAGACCUCAGAAGGUGCCUUCAGACCUCAGAAGGUUUGUUUCUGGCCCACGUGCAUCUUACAUCAGUGAUGUUUUGAGUGUGGAAACGAAAAUGUGAGUGGAGUCUGCAGACUGGGGUGGUAUUUCCUUCUCCUAUUUCCUCAAAAGCAAUACAUUUAUCUCCCAGUGAACAGCAUCUAAACACAUUUAAAACAAUAGUUCUGACUGUGGCUUCCCAGAAAGAGCCAAAAGUGUCUUCUGAAGACCAAGAACUUGCCCUUGCCAUGAGAUCAUAGCAGCCAAUUGGGUAUUUCCUAACAUAGAGAGUAUCCAUGAGUUACUGUGUGCAUCUGUGCAUCUAACUACUCCCAUCUCUUAAAAAUGCUUUGGGAAGAACACAAGUGGUAGUUUACAUACGCUGGCAGCCCAGUGGGUCGCUGCCUCUCAGCCUGAAGUGGUUGGCCUUGCACUUGUCACAGCGGACACCCUCCACAUUCUCCUUGCACAGGCAUCGGCCUGCCACCGUUCCCAGCACAGGGUCUGUGUGGCUCUCACACGCACCAUGAUGCAGUGUGCCCUCUGGGUUACAGCUGCAGGCUAUAGGCAGAGUCAAAGAGACAUAAGAAAGCAUAUUUAGACAUAGGCAUGAAACUGCAAUUGUACAACUGCAGCUGUUGUCCAGCUUUGUUGUGAACGCUAGAGAUGUCCAUCCACACCUGCUGUGCUGGCAGCUUCACAUUUAAAGUACAAUCACUAUUAAGAAAUAUUUCAAGAGGGUUUCCAAGGUCAACUUUUUCUCUGGAGGAGAGUUCCAGUCUUCACUUUGGUAGAAUUUUACCCUUCUCCUUAGGCAAAAAUGAAUGUUGCUCAUCCACUCCUGAUGUUCUCCACCUGGGGAGAAGCAAGGCUCUGUACUUCUGGGGAUGCUUUUGUGAAAGCUGAAGUGUACAGAGGGGUACCACCAGGGAGCCCCCUCCCCAGGGAUGGCCUAAACUGGCCAUGUCUGAGUAAUUUGCUAGAAAGGAUGGGAUCAGCAGGGGCCACUGCCACCAUGAUACAUCUCACUUUCUUCUCAGGCUGUGUCUCACCACACUGCUAACAUCUACCACAACGCUUCCCUGGGUAAUCUCCCCUUAGCUCCUUAAG